GGCGGAGUGGCCGAGUGGUUAAGGCGACGAACUAGAAAUUCGUUUGGGUUCGCCCGCGCAGGUUCGAGUCCUGUCGACGACG
rnacentral:tRNA from 1 species